rnacentral:rRNA from 1 species
UACGUAGGGUGCGAGCGUUAAUCGGAAUUACUGGGCGUAAAGCGUGCGCAGGCGGUGGCUCAAGCCAGGCGUGAAAUCCCCAGGCUUAACCUGGGAACUGCGUCUGAUACUGGAUGGCUUGAGUUCGGGAGAGGGAUGCAGAAUUCCAGGUGUAGCGGUGAAAUGCGUAGAUAUCUGGAGGAAUACCGGUGGCGAAGGCGGCAUCCUGGACCGAGAUUGACACUGAUGAGCGAAAGCCAGGGGAGCAAACGGG